ACUGGUGUUGGUCGAACAAGCGCGAAACUCACAGAAGUUUCCCCGAAAACGAACAGCUUUAAAUGCCAGGAGGGAAAAUGUCGGGGGAAAAAGUGGAGGUCGGUGUUUCCCUAAAUGCAAAACAUCAGAGAGGAAUCUGAAAAGAGCUUUACUUUCCCUGCGAAAUCUCCAUUGUUGCUCAGCAAACAAUGGGAGCCUGGGCGACUGGAGGGCUGUGCGAAUGAAUAGGCGAUCCGCGGGAUGUGUGCGGGUCAGUGCCUGGGGUCCCGGGCCUAAAGCCCCUUUCUCAGCUUGCCACAAUAAACCAGCGCAAGGUUUAGUCCUUACUGGGUCACCGGCCAUCCUCUAUUAUUCAACACUUCACAACAAAAAACACUUAUUAAUCAGCGCUGACCAGAGGCCCCUUUUGAAACAAGAGAAGAGGGGAGAGAGAGAGGGAGUGAGAGAGAGAGGGGUGAAAAGAAGAUUGAGAAGCCCUGGACAGAUCUUUCUAAAGCCAGAGCAACCAUGGGGUACUUUCCUCCAGUGGCCAAAGUUUAUUUGACACAACAAAGUUUCUAAUCAGGCCACGGAGACCUGGAUUUCUCCUCAUUUGCCUCACUCCCGGUCUCUUCCUCUGAAGAUGCUGGAGACUUUGUUGCAAGAAAGGAUGGCUUUAGGUCAUGUUGCUGAGGCCUGAUCUUAAAGAUCUAAUUGCUAUUGGAAGAGAAUCCUGUUUCCCAACUGGGCCUCCCCUCUGGAGAUGGAGCAAGGAAGACUGUCCAACUCUGCUCUGGGCACCCUGCUGAUGGAUGAGGUGUCAGGCCAGUCGUCAUGUGAGGACUGGUUUCCAAAUGCAGAUACAAAAAGAAAAAUUACUGUCAUGUGAUGUGUGAUCCAUGAUACCGUCAUAGUUUUGUUCCAAGACCAUCCUCAAGGAGUUUAAUGAAUGUGGCAUCACAAGAAAAAUAUGCAUCAACAUUGAAAA
rnacentral:lncRNA from 1 species